GCAUUUUACAAGGCAGAAUCAGCUCACUUUAGUGAGCCAAAAAAAUUCUUAAGUAAUGUCAGGAAGCUGGUAUUUUAUUUUAAAACUAAUUGCUAUUUUUAUUUAUUUAGAGAAUUAAAAGCCAACUCCAGACCACUGCUUGUCCUGAUUUAUGAGGGACUGAUGAGGAGUUGGUAAGGAGAGGAAUCAGAACAGGAGUGCCUGCCCCCCGCCCCAAACACAUUAUCAGCUUUUGUAUGCAGUGCCAGUUCUGCUCUUUUGUCUGUUCAAGCCAAGAAGUACUCUUAAGACAUCACCAGCUACGACAUAGAAGAGGAUUUCAUUUGCCCUGUGUUUACAGUGACUGCGUCUGUUCGUUCAGGACACGAGGGGCAUUGAAGUCUCACCUCAGCAGAUCACACAACAGGGCUAAGAAAAGAACCAAAAGGUGAAGAAAAGGGAUAAGAACAUGGCACUCAUCACCCAAAAGAUGGACAUCACAUUCUCUCUCAGGAGGAAAGAAGUUGUGGAGAUGCAGCCCUUGGUCAAGGAAAUGCAGCUCAGAUG
ensembl:lncRNA